GGGGGUUGAAAGCCGCUGCUUCUUUUGGGGGUGGUGAGGAGCGGGGAUGCCCGGCACCGGGAGACUGAGGGCACAAUGGGAGUUCCGCGUCGGCCGUGAAGGGGUACGCGGUUGUUCUGCAGGGCCGGCGUUUGGGUUUGGGUUUGUUUGUUUCCCGUGCUAUGUUACAGUGCUUUUUUUUUUUUUUGUGCAAGAAACGCAAAAAGGGCUGAAAAUAAUCUUUAAAAAGUGAGGGGAAUUUGUAAAAAAAAAAAAAAAAGAAGAAGAAGAAGAAGAAAAAAGAAAAAAAGAAGAGGAAGAAGAAGAAAAAAGAAGGGAAAAAAUGCUGAAAGAAGCGGAAAAAAGAUAAAACGAUAAUUAAAAGGGAAAAAAAAGUAAAAAUGCAGUUUGGCUGGGAGCUGCCGCUCCUCCCCACGCUGUGGCACUCCUCAGCCCACUGCCACAGCCCCGCUGGGGAUGGAGAUGGGGGGACACCCCUUCCAUUCUCAGUGCUUAUCCCUCCCACGGUGCCUCAUUUCCCCACUGGCACCUACGAGGCGGCCUCGUACACCCUUCCCUUUGUCCCUAUGAAGGCUCCAUCCACGGCCCCAGCCUGGGAGAUGCAAAACGCGGCACCGCGCUGUGCGUGGGUACCGCAUUUCCAUACGGAGCCGUUUGCCUACGCUUUGCAUUUGGGCACUGAGCAAAUAUUUUCUCGGCAAGGAGACUGUGCCCGACGUGGCUCGGGGUGCGAUCUGCGGCGGUCGGGGACGUCCCAUCCCGUCGCGUCCCAUCAGAUCCCAUCGCAUCUCAUCGCAUCGCAGCCCAUCCCGGUGGGUCGGUGGCAGCGUGGGGCGGAGGGGACCUUUCACCUCCCAUUAGCGAUGCCACCGGGCAGUGCGGGGCCGGGGUCACCCCGCAGAUGGCACACAGUCUGCUCAGCGCCGCCAGCUCCGGCUUUGAAAUUUUAGAGAGGGGAAAGGUCAGCGCAUGUCGAGGCGGGUGCUGGCGGCGGGCCGAUGCCCUCCAUCUGCCUCUGCAGCACCGGGGGAUGCUCAGCCCCCGGCUGCGCAGGGAAGCACCGAGAUGCUUUCGCCUCUCUUUGCCCUUAAAGGGAAUUGCUCUGCCGGCACCGCGCUGGGUUUUUUUUAAUUUAUUUUCUCCUUUCUCUCCCCACGUCUCCCAUGAGUGAUUAUCUUUUCCAGCAGCACAACGCAGCUUUCCGGGGGAAUCGGCUCUGCGCGCAGCAGAUCAGAGCGGUGGAUAAGCUCACCGCCCUGCGCCGGGUGUAUGAUUUCAUCGACCUUCGGCAGCGCCUCGCCUCCAUGGAGACUGCACUGCUCGCUCCUGAGCCCCGCCGGGGUACUUCAGGGUUCGUGCUCCUGGAUCUCGGAAAGGCACAUCUGUACAGGUGUGUUCUUCUCAUUCCCUGAGAGGAAAAAGGCGAAAGUGUUGCAUUUCUGUUUGGGGAUAUGUUUAGGGAUAUCGAUGGGGUAGUUCUCCCAGGUUGGGAUGCUGGGCUUUGCCCACAGCCAUCACCGUCCGUAUUAAUGGCAACAAAUUGUGCUCCUGGUUACCUGAGUACCACUCUGCCCAUUUAAACAGAGCUCAUUGUGAGGGGAAGCUGGGUUUAGCCAUAAUUUUCUUCUGCUCUCAGAUUGCUGCAGUCUGAAGGAAGCAGCAUACAUUUAAUGGGAGCUGAGCCACACGAGGGGCAGGAGCUUUCUACCAAUGAGAAUCACAUUAAAUAAUUAAUUCCCAAUUGCCUCUGUACAUUAGUGCUCUCAGCUACAAAAGCCAUUCAGCUCCGUGAGGCCCCAGGCUCUGAGCAUGUGGUGUAGCAGCAGCCCCAAAGCUGGGGCAGCAGAUUGCCAGGGCACCAGGAACGGUGCAGCUCUGCCCUGUACCGUUGGCAUAUCCAGAUGUGCAGCUCUGCUUUGCACCACUUGGCACAUCCACAUGUGCGUCCUUUUCAUUCCCCCAUCAUCUGCAUUGUUCACAUUUGAUGGGAUGGCAUUGCUUCCAAGGGGUGGCUGAGGAAGCCGGAUGUGUAUUUAUUUCGCCCGAAGUGGGGCAGCUGAAUGCUUGAGCCUAAAACCUGAGCACACAAAAGCAGCAUGUGGGUCCCUUAUCAGCAGAGCCUAUCGGAGCAGCUCAUAAGGAAAGGAAUGGAUUCCUGUUCCUCCUCUAUUUGUCCCCCUUGCCCCACCUGCUGGUCCCCCAAGCAGCCCAGGGUCAGACUGGGAGCUUUUCAGUGACUCCAGUUAUUACUAGAAACUCAAUGCCUCCUAUUUCGUGAUUGGGUUGGAUGGGAUCUUAAAGCCCACACAGUUCCAAUCCCUGCCAUGGGCUGGUUGGCCCUUGCUGGCUCAGGCUAUCCAGGGCCCCAUCCAGCCUGGCCUUCGGCACCUCCAGGGAUGGGGCACCUCCAGCUCUCUGGGCAGCAGUGCCAGCUAUUCCCCGGCACACCUGUGAGCCCACUGUUCCCUUUCUUGAGGAAGUGAGGGCAGAGCUUUGUCACUCAGCACAACAGAUGAUCCCUGAAGAAGCAGCGUAGCUGAAUCAUAGAAUCAUAGAACAUCCCAAGUUGGAAGGGACGCAUAAGGAUCAUUGAGUCCAACUUGAUUUGAAUGGAGCUCUGAGGUCCCAAAGGCACGUUGCACCGUGGGACACGUGGGAGCUGGGAGAGAGGACUGCAAAGUGAAGACUCCAUUGGUGGCCACGGCCAUUUUGGGAGGAUGUGAGCACAGCCAGAUUGGAUUUCUCAUUAUGGAGAAGAAAAUUAAUCCACAUAGCAUGCAGACUCGCCAGGCAGUGCAGUGAGAGUGCGAGGGAGAUGGCCGUGUAUCUCUGCUGGUGACAGAGCAUUGCACCGUGCCCUCCUGCACCCAGGCCAGCACUGCGAACGGCUUGGGUUGGAAGGGACCUCAAAGACCAUCUAUUUCCAACCCCCCAGCUCAGUGACAUUUACCUUCAGGUCUCUUCUUGGGAGAAUGAAUGCUUUGGAGUGCUGAUGGAGCAGGGUUCGAAGCGUUCUCUGGCACAAAACAUGUGCUGAACGUUUCAUUUCCCACCACCGCUGGGGUUGGUCUCAUCUCCCUUAUCAGCAGUAACUCCACUGAGCACCAUUUGUCACCACUGGGAGCCAUUUGCUCGUGGUAAACUGAUUUAAGGACAGGCACAGGAUGCUGCAGGGGUCCUGCCUGCUUUGUCUGGGGCUGUGACUGAGAAUUUGCUUGAACUGCUUAAAAACAGAGUGAGCCUUAGGUUCAAAGAAGCACAUUUGCCUUUUGCUUUGUAUUUAUUAAAUGCAAUAUACCAAUAUUUAUGUGUAUUAUGGUCUGGAGACCUUCAGUAUGUCCUUUUUUUUCUUUCUUUUUUUCUUCUUUCUUUUCUUAUUUGUCUUUUUCAACUAGGAACUCAAUUUUCAGACUAGUAGGAAGCUGUGGCCGUAAAACCUCCUUCCUACUUCCCCUCUCUCACCAGUUACUAAAUACUGCAAAGUUCAUAAAUUGUGAAAGUUGGCAAAUCAGAGCACUGCUUCAUUUUGAGACAGGGCUGGGGCUGUGAGACUGCCAUUCUGUGCUGCCUGGAACACAUCCCUGCCAAUGGAGAUGCUGGGAUGUGCUCAGUUGCCCAAACUGUGGAUAGGGAACAGCUGGAUGUAAAGGUGGAGUCAUGGGAUCAUCAUGGAAUUAUUAAGGUUGGAAAAGAUCAUGGAGUUCACCAAGGCCAACCCCAGCCCACCCCCACCAUGCCCACUGCCCACGGCCCUCAGUGCCACAUCUCCAUGGCUCUGGAACACCUCCAGGGACGGUGAUCCCACCACUCCCUGGGCAGCUGUGCCACUGCAUCACCACUCUCAUAGAGAAGUGUUUCCUAUUGCUAGAAACAAGGGCCACCUGGCUUCCUGCCUGGUGGGAGCGAGGUGCCCAUGCCUUCUAUGUGCAGCUGCUGUCAUGAUAGCUGGAAACGGGCUGCUGCCAGCAGUAUGCUCCCACAUGGAACCACAGAAUGGUCUGGGUUGGAAGGGACCUUUAAGAUCAUCCAGUUCCAACCCCCUGCUAUAGGCAGGGACACCUCCCUCCAGACCAGGUUGCUCAAAGCCCCACCCAGCCUGACCUUGAAUGCUUGGGUUGGUUGAAUACCAUUGGUUUUGGGGCUGCUGGGUUUUGAUUUUGGCAAGCAGGGCCUGCCUCUGCUACAUCUUUCCAGGGAGCCUCAAAACAAAGAGGUUUUGUUAAGAAACAGGGCCAACUGCAUGCACACCAGCAGGGGCGAUGCACACAGGAGCAGCCUCCCAUCCCACGGUCGAGGUUUCCUCCGCUGGAGGCUCGCGUUGCUGCUGCUCAGCGUCAGAAAGCGGCUGCGAACACAGGGAAGAAAUGCAAGGGAAGAAACGAAGGCAGCAAGCCGGGCUGCGGCAGAGGCAGCCCGUCCUCCUGCUGCUCUCAGGGGGGCAUUGCAUCACGUUUGGCUCCUCGGGAGAAACGGGAGGCAGUGGGCAAAGCAACAGGGGGAGGCAGAGACCUGGGUUUGCUCCGCCACCGGCAUCACCGGGCGAGUUCUGCUCUCGGCGCCUUCCUCUCAGCGCCGCAGACCGCGUGCAGCUCAGGGGAAGGGCCGCAUCUCGCAGCCCCUGGGCACAAAGCCUAUUGGCCAGGCUCAGGUAUCCCGACUGGGGUCUUUCUGCCCGAGGACGAGGAGUUAAAGAACGUUGCACUGAGUCACCAUCAGCAGCGCUCGGUUCCUCGGGGCUGGGUGCAACUCCUCAACAUUUUAUCUUUUUCUUCCUUUCUGAGGCCCGUGCCAGCUUCGGCAGCAUAUAAAGUAGGUGCUAUUUUUAUUGAAUCUGGCUUUAAUGUAGUAGAUUUCUCACACGUGUGUUGGUUUUUAUUGUUGGUCCCGUUCCUGAACUUUCUGGCACCUCUGAGUGUAAAGUCAGUUAUGUGCACAUUGUUUGGCAGAUGAAUUCCUAUUUCUGGGAAUCAUUUUCUUUCUAAAAUGUAUUUCUAUAUUAAAAAUGUGAUCUGUAUCCAUCACUGAGGCUCCAGCCCAAAGACUUCUGCAGCCAGCCAUCACCACGGCGGGGGAACGCAUGCAGCCCUUGGAAGGAGACCCCCAGUAUCCAAGC
ensembl:lncRNA